rnacentral:misc_RNA from 1 species
GAAAUGCGAUACGUAAUGUGAAUUGCAAAUUCAGUGAAUCAUCGAGUCAUUGAACGCACAUUGCGCCCCCUGGUAUUCCGGGGGGCAUGCCUGUCCGAGCGUCAUUUCUGCCCUCAAGCACGGCUUGUGUGUUGGGCCCCGUCCUCCGAUCCCGGGGGACGGGCCCGAAAGGCAGCGGCGGCACCGCGUCCGGUCCUCGAGCGUAUGGGGCUUUGUCACCCGCUCUGUAGGCCCGGCCGGCGCUUGCCGAUCAACCCAAAUUUUUAUCCAGGUUGACCUCGGAUCAGGUAGGGAUACCCGCUGAACUUAAGC